rnacentral:lncRNA from 1 species
UAAGCUAUAGCUCCAGAUUUCUCUAAGUAACCUGUAGUCAGCUCAUCAGAUCAGAUUGUCCUCCAGACAUCUCAACGAAUCAGCUUCCUUGCCUUAGUGUUUGGUACUGCUUAUAUCACUCUGGGGAGAAAGGGACUGUGUGAAUCUUGUUAGUCAGGGAUUUCCUGAGACUUGUGAUUUUAUUUCCUGAGUACCAACAAGCCUCCUUCCAAAAUGGAAAUGCUCAUGUUCAGAGAAUAUUGAUACAAACACUCCAAGCUUCUUACAGCCCUUACAUUUUUUUUUUCAUCUAGUGAAUCCCGUAUCUCUAUGAGUUUUGAAUGACUGACAUUGUUUCAUGUUAGAAACCUUCCUGGAGUCACUAAAUUCAUAGGGUUACCAACCUCCUUGUGUAUCUUGAAGUCAACUGAGGCUUCACUAAUUAUACAGACUUUCUUUAAACACAAAUGUUACUUCACAUAUAUGAGUCGCUUAUGCAGAAAGAGGCCACUUGCGUAGAAACCCUUCUGUCAUUUGUACAGUCCUGGUAUGUUGCAUCUCUGUGUUUUCCUAGAGCUGGCUUGAGACCUGACUGGUAGAAGAACAUUUUCAAACAUUGUUUGCAUUCAUUGGUCUCAUCAGCAUGCUUUCUCUGAUGUCAAGUGAGGACUGACAUUCUAUAGCAAGGGUUCAUGCAUUACCCAGGAUUUCUCUUGAGUUGGUCAUGGAGAGAGGCUGGAGAUAGAGAAGAAAUGCUUCAUUCAUUUGCGUUCCUAGAGCUCACUUUCUGGGUUCAGUGAGGUGUCAUGCAGACUGACUUAAGUGACAAUGCUCCCUGUAUCACUCACACUCUUGGGUUUUCCCCUUUGAAUGAAAUCUAAUUUCAAGAGAGAAACAGCUUCUGUAGAGAACCUUUUCUGUAUUGUUUACAUAAUAAGGAUUCUCACUUGUAUGUGUUGCUGGUGUUGAAGGAGUUUUGACUUGCUGUAGAAAGCUUUCCAGCAUUCUCUGCACUGAUAGGGCUUCUCCCUUGUGUGAGUUCUCUGCUGUAAAGUGAGGCUUGACUCACUAUAGAAAACAUUCUUGUACUCUUCACAUUCAUAGGGCUUCUUGCUAGCAUGAGGUCUUUGGUGUAUAAGGUUUGAUUUCUGCCAAAAAGGCUUUCUUGCAUUCAUUGUAUCAAUAGGACUUCUCACCAGUACAUGUUCUCUGAUGUCGAAUGAGGUGUGACCUGUAAAAGAAAGCUUUCUUGUGUCCCUCACAUUUAAAAGGCUUCUCACUGGUACAAGUUCUCUGAUGUAAAGUUAGGAGCCACUUAUGGCAGAAGGCUUUCUUACAUUCCUCACAUUCAUAGGGCUUCUCUCCUGUAUGAGUUCUCUGGUGUCCCAAGAGUUGUGACUUGAAGUAGAAACCUUUCCUGCAUUCUUUGCAUUCAUAGGUCAUCUCUCUAGUUUGUGUCCUCUGGUGUUCAGUGAGUGUUGACUUAUCAUGGAAAAUGUCACAGCACUCACCACACCCACACUUUUCCCUGCAUGUAUGAUUCCUUUCAUGCUGUGGCCAUUGGCAGUAUGCUUCCACACAGGAAUAGGGUUUUCCCCUUGCUGGAUCUUCUGUUGAACCUUGAGCUGUGCC